CGGGGCCCUUUAAUGAGCUCUGUCCGUUGGUGGGCGGCAGCGCCGCCGCCGCUUUGCAGUCCACCGGGGUCGUUCCUGUCGACUCCUCGUCCGGGGUUCCAGCGGCUUUCUUCUCCUUCGCUUCCUCCUUCUGGUCCUUCCCCUCCUCAUCAUCAUCCUCGUCCUCGCUGUCGUCGGAGUCGAUGCGGUUCACGCGUUUUCGGAUCGGACGGUCCUCCUCAGACGAUUCGUCCGAGUCGUCGUCCGACUCGUCGUCCUCGGAGGCUCUCCGGCGUUUGAGAGCGAGGCGUCUGCGCCGCUGCUGGGAUUCGUCCUCCUCGGAGUCGGCUCUCCUCUUCGCCCCGCGGCCCCUGGGCUCCUCCUCGGAGCCUCUGGAGGAACUCGCUGGGGGGAAAAAGAAAACAACGGACGCCAUUUAGGUGAAACGAAGCAGAAAGAUGGAGGCAAGUUAAAAUAAGAGCUGGUGUUCAGCGCUCAUCAGCACAAAUGACACAUUGUGACACCCGCUGAAGGUGUUUGAAGCUUCUUCUGUAGUCAUGGAUACACAAAACACACCAGAGCAUAAUGGAAACAUGUCAAAUGAAAAGCAGCUGCAUUUUCAUCUUGUGAUGUACCAAAUAAAUGUCAACGAACCAUCUCCUUCAUGAACAAACAUCUGAUAGACGAGUCCGGGUCCAAAUAGAAUCAUUUAAAAAAAACAGAACCACUCUGAUGACAAAUGAUCAGCUUUGUUAAGUGCAGAUCUGUGUCGCUGUCCGUGGUGCUGAACGCUUUAUUUACAAGAUUUCUAAACCGGCAGAUCAGUUGCGAGGGGACUUCUUUAUUGAAAAGAACGCGUCAUUCUGUCACACAAGCAGAGGAAACAUUAGGUGUGACUGUUCGUCUCCUGACCGUCGCUGUCGGAGCUGUCCGGACGGACCCGGCGCUUCGUCUUGGACGGUCGGGUUUCGUUCUGAGAGCCGCCGGACUCGGACGUUUCGCAGUAGUUGACUCGCUUCUUCUGACUGCGGCGCGAGCGCCGGAAGCUCACGUCCAGGUCGCUGUCGCUGAACUCGCUGGAGCCUUCGGUCACUGGA
ensembl:lncRNA